UACCCAUUCAAUGAAAUUCAGUUCAAAAGUCAUAAUGUUGAUGUUGAAUACAAGGCUGAACAAAAUUUCGGUCCAAGUAGGCCUUCUUAAAGUAGCUACAAUACAAGUAUAUAUACACAUUUAUGCAACUAACAUAAUACAAUUACCUCACAAUGCUGAAUACGGUAAACAGACCCUUACACAGUUUGGAGCUCAUCCUUCUGGGAUCAAGGAUUUCUGGAGUUUAAAGUGGAAUGGUAGAGCAUAAGCGGAGCCGGUUGAAGCAAGAUUUCCUACACAGGAAAAGACUUAGCAGUUUACCCCCUCGUAGUGUCAUAAUUUUUCGGCUCGUCCGGAGGAAUCAUCACUCGAUCUACGUCCAACCUCCGCUGAGAUCUGCAUGCAGUUCGGUGAUAUGUCAUGUUCGGUGAUAUAAGGCAGCAAUGACGACUGAAGACUGGAUGGAAAGUCCGUUUGCCUUAUUUGGGAAUUGCGUAGUGGAAGACCUUCGACCUUUUCUGAUUGUUCCCGACGAGGUAAGGCGCCAUAUCUGAGAAGCUCAACCCCAGGACUGCAGUCGGUAAGCGCACCAAAGGAUCCCUGUGGUCGAUACCCAUUAGAUCUAUGUCCCAAGAUCUAUAUAUCCCAUUAAAGCUAGAUAGAAACAGUGUCGAGAGUAAAACACUUUGCUCUGUAAUCUGCCAAAAAAUACAUUUAUUUGUCUAGUAAUAAACAAAAUUUAUAUUGGA